rnacentral:rRNA from 1 species
CCAUUGUUGCCUCGGCAGAAGCUGCUCGGUGCACCCUACCUUGGAACGGCCUACCCUGUAGCGCCUUACCCUGGAACGGCCUACCCUGUAGCGGCUGCCGGUGGACUACCAAACUCUUGUUAUUUUAUUGUAAUCUGAGCGUCUUAUUUUAAUAAGUCAAAACUUUCAACAACGGAUCUCUUGGUUCUGGCAUCGAUGAAGAACGCAGCGAAAUGCGAUAAGUAAUGUGAAUUGCAGAAUUCAGUGAAUCAUCGAAUCUUUGAACGCACAUUGCGCCCAUUAGUAUUCUAGUGGGCAUGCCUGUUCGAGCGUCAUUUCAACCCUUAAGCCUAGCUUAGUGUUGGGAGCCUACUGCUUUUGCUAGCUGUAGCUCCUGAAAUACAACGGCGGAUCUGCGAUAUCCUCUGAGCGUAGUAAUUUUUAUCUCGCUUUUGACUGGAGUUGCAGCGUCUUUAGCCGCUAAAUCCCCCAAUUUUUAAUGGUUGACCUCGGAUCAGGUAGGAAU